rnacentral:rRNA from 1 species
GACGAACGCUGGCGGCGUGCCUAAUACAUGCAAGUCGAACGAACUCUGGUAUUGAUUGGUGCUUGCAUCAUGAUUUACAUUUGAGUGAGUGGCGAACUGGUGAGUAACACGUGGGAAACCUGCCCAGAAGCGGGGGAUAACACCUGGAAACAGAUGCUAAUACCGCAUAACAACUUGGACCGCAUGGUCCGAGUUUGAAAGAUGGCUUCGGUUAUCACUUUUGGAUGGUCCCGCGGCGUAUUAGCUAGAUGGUGGGGUAACGGCUCACCAUGGCAAUGAUACGUAGCCGACCUGAGAGGGUAAUCGGCCACAUUGGGACUGAGACACGGCCCAAACUCCUACGGGAGGCAGCAGUAGGGAAUCUUCCACAAUGGACGAAAGUCUGAUGGAGCAACGCCGCGUGAGUGAAGAAGGGUUUCGGCUCGUAAAACUCUGUUGUUAAAGAAGAACAUAUCUGAGAGUAACUGUUCAGGUAUUGACGGUAUUUAACCAGAAAGCCACGGCUAACUACGUGCCAGCAGCCGCGGUAAUACGUAGGUGGCAAGCGUUGUCCGGAUUUAUUGGGCGUAAAGCGAGCGCAGGCGGUUUUUUAAGUCUGAUGUGAAAGCCUUCGGCUCAACCGAAGAAGUGCAUCGGAAACUGGGAAACUUGAGUGCAGAAGAGGACAGUGGAACUCCAUGUGUAGCGGUGAAAUGCGUAGAUAUAUGGAAGAACACCAGUGGCGAAGGCGGCUGUCUGGUCUGUAACUGACGCUGAGGCUCGAAAGUAUGGGUAGCAAACAGGAUUAGAUACCCUGGUAGUCCAUACCGUAAACGAUGAAUGCUAAGUGUUGGAGGGUUUCCGCCCUUCAGUGCUGCAGCUAACGCAUUAAGCAUUCCGCCUGGGGAGUACGGCCGCAAGGCUGAAACUCAAAGGAAUUGACGGGGGCCCGCACAAGCGGUGGAGCAUGUGGUUUAAUUCGAAGCUACGCGAAGAACCUUACCAGGUCUUGACAUACUAUGCAAAUCUAAGAGAUUAGACGUUCCCUUCGGGGACAUGGAUACAGGUGGUGCAUGGUUGUCGUCAGCUCGUGUCGUGAGAUGUUGGGUUAAGUCCCGCAACGAGCGCAACCCUUAUUAUCAGUUGCCAGCAUUAAGUUGGGCACUCUGGUGAGACUGCCGGUGACAAACCGGAGGAAGGUGGGGAUGACGUCAAAUCAUCAUGCCCCUUAUGACCUGGGCUACACACGUGCUACAAUGGAUGGUACAACGAGUUGCGAACUCGCGAGAGUAAGCUAAUCUCUUAAAGCCAUUCUCAGUUCGGAUUGUAGGCUGCAACUCGCCUACAUGAAGUCGGAAUCGCUAGUAAUCGCGGAUCAGCAUGCCGCGGUGAAUACGUUCCCGGGCCUUGUACACACCGCCCGUCACACCAUGAGAGUUUGUAACACCCAAAGUCGGUGGGGUAACCUUUUAGGAACCAGCCGCCUAAGGUGGGACAGAUGAUUAGGGUG